AUUACAGCAUGGAUAGAAUCCUAGAACGAUAUGAACAAAAAUCAUAUGCAGCGAGGCAGCUUGCUCCAACUGGUUCUGAAUCACAGGCAAACUUGUCUUUGGAAUGUUCCAAAAUCACUCAACUGUUGAAGCUUUACAAAGGAACUUGAGACAGUUCCAAGGAGAAGGGCUUGAUACCUUGAGUCUGAGGGACCCGCAACUUUUGGAACAACAAAUUGGUAAUUCUUUG